rnacentral:rRNA from 1 species
AUUCCAGCUCCCCUUUCGUCUCUUCCCGUUGUUGCCGUUCCCCCGCUCGUCGUUGGCUUUCUGGCCGAGUGUCCCCAGGCCAGCAUGACGUUUGGUCCUGGGCGCUCUGCCAUCCUUCUGUCAACCUUCGCCUCGUUCAUUCGUGGCGCUGGGGCUCAGAUAUUUUACCUUGAGAAAAUUAGAGUGUUUCAGGCAGGCUUUCGCCGGAAUACAUUAGCAUGGAAUAAUGGAAAAGGACUUCAACCUCUUCUGUUGGUCUGAGAGGCUGUAGUAAUGAUUAAUAGGGAUAGUUGGGGGCAUUAGUACUUAACUGUCAGAGGUGAAAUUCUCCGAUUUGUUAAAGACUAACUUAUGCGAAAGCAUUUGCCAAGGAUGUUUUCAUUA